GAGAGAGGUAAAGGAAAAUAAAAAAAAAAAGGGAAAACUUCGAAUACCACUCCUAUAGUUUAAAAUAUAUCAAUUUAGUAUCCAAUGAUUUCGUACUUUUUCACUUUAAUAUCCUGUGAUUUAAAGCGCAUCAAUUUAGUACCAUAUGGUUUCAUUUUUCUCUUUUCGGCGGCUCUUCUGUUAAUAUUUCGUUAAAUUAUAUACAAAAAACUUUAGAUAUUCUAUCCAGGUUUAUCGAAUAUUUACUUUAGUACCUUUUAUUUUUAACUUUAUCACUGAUUUUUUUUUCCUCCAUUAAUAUUUUGUUAAAUUAUAUACACAAAAUUUCAGAUAUCCUACCUAGGUUUAUCGAAUAUUUAUUUUAGUACCCUUUAAUUUUAACUUUGUCACUGAUUUAAAGAAAAAAAUUAGUGAAAUAAAUAAUAAAAAGUGAAAAAUGAAACAACAUAGUACUAACAUAAUACACUUUAAAUCACAGAGUACUAAAGUAAGAAAGUGCGAAACUAUAGGGACUAACUUGAUACACUUUGAACUAAAGGGUACUGGAGUAAGAAAGUCN
rnacentral:lncRNA from 1 species